rnacentral:rRNA from 1 species
CUCCAAUAGCGUAUAUUAAAGUUGUUGCCGUUAAAAAAGCUCGUAGUCGAACUUCGGGUCCUGUCCGCCGGUCCGCCUUCUUGGUGUGUACUUGUUGGAUGGGACCUUACCUCCUGGUGAACGGCGAUGUCCUUUACUGGGUGUCGUCGCAAACCAGGACGUUUACUUUGAAAAAAUUAGAGUGUUCAAAGCAGGCCUUU